UUACAAAGAUGACCACCAUUAAAGGAUUUUUGAUAAUUAAUUUUCUAAAAAACUUAAAUUCCAUCAGACACAUGGUUAUGAACAAUAAAUUAAUUAUAAAUAUCGAAUGCUUGUAAUACACUUUAAUUAUGGCCUCAAAAAGCCUGUAUACAACAGCACUGAUCUGCACGGGACAGGCGAUAAUAGAGAAAAUCAAUUUCAAUAAAAGACAAAGCGUCGCGUAAGAAAUACCUAACUUUAGUAAUUUGAAAUGUUAAUUACCCAAUCUGAUUUCGGUGCUUUGCAAUAAAUAAUUUGAGUUUUCAGCUAUAAUUAUUUUAUUUUUUAUUAUUUGUUAAUAGAUGGCGCUGACGUCGUACAGAUGGCGCUAUAAAUUGCUGCAGAGUUUUAGACUUUUGUAGCGGGAAAGGUUUUUAUGAACACAAAGUCAGAAGCACCGAGCAUUAUUUUCCGUCUCCAGAAGCAGUGAACCGCACAGCCUCACUAGAUUUAAUUGGCAUAUUCGAUCCGAAGUUCCUGAUUAUUAUUGAAAGCAAAGUCGAUGAAGUGAUUCAACUAAGUUCUGACAGUGAUAUCUACGAGUUGCCCGAGAAAUAGGCGUUUGACUUGAAUAUCGAUCAAGGAUGUUCGGUCUUUUUACUAAUACCAGUUUUCAUUUUCAAUAAAUGUUUUCAAUUUUUUUAUAAAAUCUA